GUCCAACAUGGACAGUUGUGCAGGUUGGACUUUGUACGAGCUUGUCUGGCAGGGAUACAUGGGAUUAAUAUCCAGCCCAGACCUUGCAGGCAAAGAGAUAUCCAGGCCCUUCAGCUGAUGCACACAGGAUGGCGCCCUGGCCUUCACUGCUCCUGUUCUGCUCUUUGGGCCCAGUUCUGACUUGACUGUGACAAUCUGAAAAGGUAGAACUCGCUCUUACCCUGCAUUCCAACUCCACCCGCAGCACAGAAGUGCAAUGUUACCUUAGUUAUGCGACACACUGUACUCCUAGUAACACGACCGAAGCUCACGUCAGCUCUGCUGGCAACACCACAGCACUUCGACCCUCUCGUGUCCCACUUCCCUGUCUCCGGUCCUUUCCUCCACAUGCACUGGUUUCUCAAGGCCACUCCAAGUGGCCUUGCCCUGGGACUCCUGAAGGGUCCCCCAGCAGCUACUUUGGUGGCCUUAGGCUUGGGCCGGUCCACUCCCAGUGUCAGACUCCAAAGCCCCCCGAAGACCACUGGGCCCAGGAGGAAGCUGGGAAAUGCCUUGAUCCCUCCAGAGAGCUGCAGCCAGAGGACUUCACAGAGCCAGCUCCGCCCACAAGGCCUGGACGUGGCCCUCCCUGAGCCCUGCAACAGGGUGCUGCAGUAGUGUUGGAAGCCACGUUUAGUUCACACUGUGAACCAGUGGUUCGUAGUUCAGGUUUUGGAAACAGAUGGUCUGGAUUCAAAGCCAUUCACCAGCUUUGUGACUUCAGGCCAAGCUUCCCCCUCUGUUUCCCCCUGAGAGACUGGUAACAGCAUUCAGGUCAUUGUGAUGACCAAUGAUGGAAAGAGAAGAGAGGAAAGACAGCGGAUGGCCCCAGUGCCUUGCCACAGGGAGUUUUAGCCCCAGGGUGGCUUGUUCCAGCCUGUGUCCUCCCAGACAAGCAUUUUUCUGGCAAGUGUUCACCAGAGAUGUGGGGCAGCUGGGUGCCGCCAUGGAGAGGACACACACUCGUGGCAGCCUGAGCCCAGGUGCUUGUUCUGCCCAGGACUUUGCUCUGCGUCUGCACCAUGGCUGGGGCCUCUCCAUUGUUCUUCCGCACCCCUAACUCACACAUUGCCUCCUGGGCCAUCUCUGAGUGUGCAGCUGCUCAGAUAACCCUCAGUAUGACAUUGAGCAAAUCCCAUAACUCAUCAAACAGACAAUGCUGCCUGCCAGGCCAGGCUCUCGCACUAGCUCAACCGAUAACUAGGGCCCAGCAGAGGUGGAUGCUCCAGAGCUGCCCUGCCCACCAACACAGUACUGCUCUGUGCCAACCCUGGGCUGCGCACAGGGCAUCAAAAGAUUUUAAAAGCUGUACUUCCUGUAAGGUGUUUCAAGUUUAAUAGAAGAAAUUAGCUUUUUUUCCUUUCUUUUUUUUUGGUACCAGGAAUCAAACUCAGAUACCUGCACUUGCCAGGCAGGCACGGUGCCACUGAGCUAAAUUCCUGGCUGACAAGAGGGGAAAUAAACUUCUGAGCCUCUACCCUGACAGACAAUGCUAAGGACUGUGAUGGAAUAGUGUCUAAAGGAAUAUGCGACACCAGGAAGUACUCAGUCACUUCCCCAGUUUGCCUCAGUUUCCUCAUCCAUCAAAUGAGGGAAAUUAGUUGCUUCCUGUCACGAGAUGAUUCCGGUGAGCUUGGUGGAAGUUUCAGUUCUCUGCCAGUCUUCCAUUUCCUUACCUGCCUUCCUGCACAUAUGUUCCACCUCCAGCUCCACCCAGCAAGGAGGAAGAGCAGGAUACAAGGCCUUGCACGGUGCUUGCACACACCACUUCUGCCAGCAUCCCAAGGACAAGAACUCAGGUCCACAGCAGCAUCUGGCUGCAGUGGAGGCCAAGCACUGCCCACUUCGUUUCCAGCAGCCAUGCGCGCAGCAGAAAAUCGGAGGUGUUUCCAUUAAGAGGCCACAGGAUGCGCUGUUGGGUGGAAGGUGGAGUGCGCAUGAGAAGCGUCGAAGACUCGAUGACUCCACUGGGGCUGAGAAACAAAGAGUGAAGCAACCUUUUCCAGAGAGGGGAAAGCGUGCAAAAGGAGCAAGGAAGGGUUGUGGCUCAAAUAUGCUAUAUUUGAGUUUGUGAAAGAUGAAGAAAGAAAGAAAGAAAGAAAGAAAGAAAGAAAGAAAGAAGGAAGGAAGAGAGAAAGUGGACUGAGUACCAGUGGUGUCCUCAGCACUCUGCUAGGCACAGUUGCAUGGGUUACCACUUUUACAGUCAACACAGCAGGGAAGAGCUGCAUCUGCCCGAGUCGCCAGCACCAUCUUCAGUGACGUCAUCACGUAACAGCAAGGAUGUCUCCUAAAGAGAGAAGGCCCACCAGUGGAGCUCCGUAAGCAGACUCCAGAUAACAGCAAUGGGGAACCAGCAUGGAGUGGUCAUCAGGCAUUGUCACCCACAGUUCUAUCCAAACCUGGGACUCGAUGUGUCCAAAUCAUACCAUUCUAGAACUGUACAGCAGCCUUCCCCUCAUCAAAAUGUCAGCACAUGUAGCACAUUAUGCCAGCAGGAAUGACAGCAUGCAAUUAUGCUGAGGUCAGACUGCCAUGAACGAAAUUGGGCUCCAUUACUACCAAUCAUACUAUAUGCCUAUUUCCUCAUCUGUAAGGUAGGAGUAGCAAUAGAUGUACUCAUUCUAAAAUCCAGUUACAGUGUUUCAAUACCAUCUGGACCAUAGUAAGUGCUCAUUAAAUGUUAGCAUUUAUUCAGUUCAAUCAACUCUUACAUACUGUGCCACCCGGGACCCAUGCGUAUCUGUUUGGCCCACUCUCACACACAAAAUCAGACUAAUUCCAUCUAGAAAGAGUGGGCUUAGGCCUUGGAGACUGAGCUACUCUAAUGGGGGUACAGCAGCACCAGCCAAACUGGCCCCCUUUCUGCUCCAUGAGUUGGCCCGUCCACCUUGGCCAAUGUGCAAAAAUGUUUGUGGCGAACUCAUUUGUUUUCCUUUCUGUUAGGUCGGCCUUCCAAAGGCAAAGAACUGCUGAAAUUAACCCAAGGCAGGGGCCAGUGGAGCAGACGGGGUCUGGGCUAGAGCCAGGCGUAAUGAAGUGGAAAAUGUUCACACCACAGGCAGCAUUACAAUGCACCUGUACAAACAGAACUCAGCCUGCCAUCCCUUCCUUCGGGGCCCAGCUGCCUCUCGGACUACUCUUUUAUGGCUUCACUCCUGGCCAUGCCUGGUCAACGUCAAGGUCUCUAAUGAAGAUAAGAGACAAAGGCCUCCAGAGAAGAGCUGGUAGAGAUGGAACAGAAGAGACGAAAAUGAGCAAAGGUACGCUCAGCACAGACAUCUCCUGAAAGUUCUGGGGAGUUCUCUGAAGACCAUGUUACCUAAAACAGGGAAGAACUACAGCACAGCUCAUGAAGAUUGAAGUUACGUGGCAAGAUUGAGGUAGAAAACUUUCACAUUGCUUGGCUCACUUCCCACACCCAUAUGAUCAGGCUCCAUUCUGCAGACAAGGAAACUGAGGCCCAGGGAGACAAAGCCAGCAGGUGACCAUGUCAAGAUUCAAGCCCAGGAACCAUGAUUUGUCUUCUGUACUCAGACCAGUGUUGAGUGAUGUUCUCAAAGCCACGCAGCUAUCAAGUGGGAAGCUGGAAGUCCUGGUGUGGUGGUUACUGCUCCACUAGGCAGCAGGAAGAGAACUUGGGGACAUCAAGGCCAGGCUGUCCUGAAGACUAGGCCAGUGAAGACAAGGGGCCUGGGUUUCCCCAGAGCAAGGCCUGUGGACCACAGUGCUACCAUGAGGGAAGAUGGGGAAAAGACAAACCAUAGUUCUUGACAUAGUGUGGCUCUACGUCUCCCAAUUUCACAAGGGCUCAGUUUGUCCCUCCCUGAGAUGGACCUUCCAUGGGCACUAAAUAGAAGGACUUUGUAAGGCACUUCCAAGGUCUAUUGCUCUUCACUCCUCUCAGACUCAACCUUAAGUCACACCCAACUCUAAUUGUCAUAACCAGAAGCUUUCUUACCACCAUGGGGGGCGGAGGGACAAAGGUCAAAAGUAGACAUCAUUACAACUGCCACAUACCUGGCCCUCACCUCUCAUUGCCAUCUUCUUAAACAUCAGUGGUUAGGGGCAUAAAGAGAGGGAAUGGAGAUAGUUACUCCCCACAGGGAGUCUGACAUAUAGCAGGCCCUCAGUGAUCACUAACACCUUUGACAAGCUAUGGGUUCUUUGCAGAUCAGAACCUGCUGCUUUAUAGCAUCCAAUCAUAGUGUCAUGCAGCCUGCAGUAACUGCCUAGUGAAUGCCUGUCUGUUGAGUGCAGGAGCUUUUCCGUCGCUCCCAUCCUCCUGGUUUAGGCAACAUCCAGGACUGUGUUUGGGCCUUUCUAAAUGCCCUGGGGCCAGUUUGACGCACAUCUCCCGGGGUGCCUCAUGGCUUCUCAGAGUUCAACCUCACCUAAUUCAAACUUAGCAGUAAGCUAUGUUUGCCAUUCUUCAUGGUUGAUGUUUAUAUGGCUGCUCUGAACUUUUAUAAUUAUUACUGUUUAAUUUAAAAAGAAGUUUAAAUUUUGCAAUGUACAAAAAAGUCAAGAUUGCCAUGUUUUGGUAAAAUGCUUCAUUCUUCAGUUUUCCCCAUUCGAUACACUUUCUCUGGUCCCUAUGUGGUAGGCAGCAUAAGGACCUCACUGUCCCUGGAGAAACAGACAUUGAAAUAAGCACAUUUAAUACAUUAUGAUUCCUGAAAUACUGAAAACUGCAGAGAGAAACUAGUUACAAGUGUGGAGAGUUAGCCUCCAUUUUGUCUUGAAAAGUGUUUAUCUAAGCCGGUAAUGCCAUAUACCAUAUGGCCCUAACUGCAUCAAGUGGCCUCCAUCUUCAGGGCUGAGGAGGUCCAAAGACAUGGCCUGUUUUCUUCCUGCAUCUUGAGGGAAUAAACAGAUGAGUACAGUUUAGGGCAAGAUUUCCCAAGUCAAUUCUACUACCUUAUGGGCAGGGCCAUGUUGGAAUAAGUCAAGGUUCUAGUAGAAAAUUAACGCCAGAAGAUCAGGAGGAUACCACAGGAUGAAAGAAAAGAAUCUCUCUCUCUCUCUCUCUCUCUCUCUCUCUCUCUCUCUCUGCAGAUUUCCCUCAUCUUUGUGAUUCUUACUGAAACCUGGAAGUAACUCUUUCAAGAAAGAGUUUAAGUGAUUUCAAGAGCACCCAGCCAGGGCAGGUGUUUCCCGUGGCUAGGAGGACACUCCUACUCCUUCAUGCUCCUGCUUGAGCAUCCCUUCUCUAAUUUACUGUGAGGCUCUUGACCACAGUAGCACUUCCUAUGACCAUCCUCUAGUGGCAGCAAGUUUCACAAGACAUAUGAUAUGUCGUCUUCAACCUUAUAGUUCUAGUAGGCGAGUGUCCUGACCAGCCCAAAGUAAGUGCUUCAUAAGUAUUUGUCAUCUGAAUAGAUGACUGAGUGGAUGAAUAAUGCCACGUUCAUUUACAAGCGCACUGUGGUUUUAUCUUUCUCGGAAAUAUUAUAACCCACUUGCUCCUAAACAGAUUUUUCAAAAUCACAUUCUAUGAAAUGUUACCAAUUCAUGAGAUAAUUUUACUGAACUAAUAAAAAGUUAAAAAAUAAGAAAUAGGGAUUCUUUUUGUUUUCAAACAAAAUUUAUCACAUAUACAUAAGAAGAGUUCAUUACCGUCACAGUG
ensembl:lncRNA